AGGGCCCGGCUCCAUCGCAGGAGCAGCCGCCGUCACCACCACCGGUGUCGCCGCCUUCAUGCCUAGCCUGCGGGCGUUGUCCCUGCUGAAGAUCUGGGAGCUUAAGGCGGCUCCAACCAAUCACGGAUGGGCUUUGAGGGCGUGGACCCUCCCACUUCCGUCUUGCGCGGGGUCUCCCAGAGGAGGUGUGGUCCGCGAUCUCCGUUAGCUCCAAGGCGGAAGGAUCUGUCGUCCCACCGCAGUGUCGGGUUUCCGUUGUCAAAUAGGAAGUGAAGCCACGGGCCGCCAUCCUUAAGCAAUUCCCGCUAUCUCAGACUCCUGAACCACAGACGGGAUGGUUUAUAAAGAAUAGAGGUUCCAGAGGCAGGGAAAUUCAAGAACUGGGUGCCAGCCUUCCUGCUGCAUCUUGAUGCGAUAGAGAGAGAGUCACAUGCCCAGACAGACAAGCCUGCCUGCUCAGAUCUCACUUCUUCCUGUAAAGCCACUGGUGGUGUUUAUGGAAAGUCCAUGCUGGAAUAGAGCUAACAAGGACUGGGCUCUGCCCUCAUCGCCUCAUUUGAAGAACCUCCUUCUACAAGCCUCAUUUCAAUUAGCAACUCCAAUUUAAGGAUUGAGUUUCCAAGGCAUGGACUUUUGGGUGUCUGCUGAAACCCUGGCAAAGAAGGACGGCAUGCCUACCUCCCUUCUAGCCUCCCCUCCUCUUUCUCUCUCCUCCUUUCUGUUUAAAGCAGAGAUCAAGGAAUAAAAGCAAGGAUUGUUCUAUGGC
ensembl:processed_transcript 1700001G11Rik RIKEN cDNA 1700001G11 gene